GAUGAAGAACGCAGCGAAAUGCGAUAAGUAAUGUGAAUUGCAGAAUUCAGUGAAUCAUCGAAUCUUUGAACGCACAUUGCGCCCCUUGGUAUUCCGAGGGGCAUGCCUGUUCGAGCGUUAUUACACCACUCAAGCACUGCUUGGUAUUGGGCAUCGUCCGUCGAAAGGCGGGCGUGCCUCGAAGACCUCGGCGGGGUUUCUCCAACUUCGGGCGUAGUAGAGUUAAAUCGAACGUCUUAUAAGCUUGGUGGGACUCCAUUGCCGUUAAACCUUUUAUUUUCUAGGUUGACCUCGGAUCAGGUAGGGAUACCCGCUGAACUUAAGCAUAUCAAUAAGCGGAGGA
rnacentral:misc_RNA from 1 species